rnacentral:rRNA from 1 species
AAUGAACGCUGGCGGCAUGCCUAACACAUGCAAGUCGAACGAGACCUUCGGGUCUAGUGGCGCACGGGUGCGUAACGCGUGGGAACCUGCCCUUAGGUUCGGAAUAACUCCCCGAAAGGGGUGCUAAUACCGGAAAAUGUCUUCGGACCAAAGAUUUAUCGCCUUUGGAUGGGCCCGCGUUGGAUUAGCUUGUUGGUAGGGUAAAAGCCUACCAAGGCGACGAUACAUAGCUGGUCUGAGAGGAUGAUCAGCCACACUGGGACUGAGACACGGCCCAGACUCCUACGGGAGGCAGCAGUGGGGAAUAUUGGACAAUGGGCGAAAGCCUGAUCCAGCAAUGCCGCGUGAGUGAUGAAGGCCUUAGGGUUGUAAAGCUCUUUUACCCGGGAUGAUAAUGACAGUACCGGGAGAAUAAGCUCCGGCUAACUCCGUG